GACGAACGCUGGCGGCGUGCCUAAUACAUGCAAGUCGAGCGCAGGAAAUCGACGGAACCCUUCGGGGGGAAGUCGACGGAAUGAGCGGCGGACGGGUGAGUAACACGUAAAGAACCUGCCCUCAGGUCUGGGAUAACCACGAGAAAUCGGGGCCAAUACCGGAUGGGUCAUCGGACCGCAUGGUCCGAGGAUGAAAGGCGCUUCGGCGUCGCCUGGGGAUGGCUUUGCGGCGCAUUAGCUAGUUGGUGGGGUAAUGGCCCACCAAGGCGACGAUGCAUAGCCGACCUGAGAGGGUGAUCGGCCACACUGGGACUGAGACACGGCCCAGACUCCUACGGGAGGCAGCAGUAGGGAAUCUUCCACAAUGGACGAAAGUCUGAUGGAGCAACGCCGCGUGAACGAUGAAGGCCUUCGGGUCGUAAAGUUCUGUUGUAAGGGAAGAACAAGUGCCGCAGGCAAUGGCGGCACCUUGACGGUACCUUGCGAGAAAGCCACGGCUAACUACGUGCCAGCCGCCGCGGUAAUAC
rnacentral:rRNA from 1 species